rnacentral:rRNA from 1 species
CCACGGGUCGCAGCAGUGGGGAAUAUUGCACAAUGGGCGCAAGCCUGAUGCAGCCAUGCCGCGUGUAUGAAGAAGGCCUUCGGGUUGUAAAGUACUUUCAGCGGGGAGGAAGGGAGUAAAGUUAAUACCUUUGCUCAUUGACGUUACCCGCAGAAGAAGCACCGGCUAACUCCGUGCCAGCAGCCGCGGUAAUACGGAGGGUGCAAGCGUUAAUCGGGAUUACUGGGCGUAAAGCGCACGCAGGCGGUUUGUUAAGUCAGAUGUGAAAUCCCCGGGCUCAACCUGGGAACUGCAUCUGAUACUGGCAAGCUUGAGUCUCGUAGAGGGGGGUAGAAUUCCAGGUGUAGCGGUGAAAUGCGUAGAGAUCUGGAGGAAUACCGGUGGCGAAGGCGGCCCCCUGGACGAAGACUGACGCUCAGGUGCGAAAGCGUGGGGAGCAAACAGGAUUAGAUACCCCGGUAGUC